rnacentral:rRNA from 1 species
AAUCAACGCUGGCGGCGUGCCUCAGACAUGCAAGUCGAACGCGAAAUUUCCCUUCGGGGAGAAAGUCGAGUGGCGCACGGGUGAGUAACACGUAGGUAAUUUGCCUUUGGGUGGGGAAUAACUCAGGGAAACUUGAGCUAAUACCGCAUAAUGCAGCGGCUCGACAUCGAGACAGUUGUUAAAGCGGGGGAUCGCAAGACCUCGCGCCUGAAGAGAAGCCUGCGGCAGAUUAGCUAGUUGGUAAGGUAAUGGCUUACCAAGGCGACGAUCUGUAACCGGCCUGAGAGGGCGGUCGGGUCACACUGACACUGACAUACGGGUCAGACUCCUACGGGAGGCAGCAGUCGGGAAUUUUGGGCAAUGGGACGAAAGCCUGACCCAGCAACGCCGCGUGAAGGAUG